GACGAACGCUGGCGGCAGGCUUAACACAUGCAAGUCGAACGCAUCCUUCGGGGUGAGUGGCAGACGGGUGAGUAACGCGUGGGAACGUGCCCUUCAGUUCGGGAUAACCCAGGGAAACUUGGGCUAAUACCGGAUACGUGCGAGAGCAGAAAGAUUUAUCGCUGAAGGAUCGGCCCGCGUCUGAUUAGCUAGGUGGGGGGGUAAUGGCCCACCAAGGCGACGAUCAGUAGCUGGUCUGAGAGGAUGAUCCGCCACAUUGGGACUGAGACACGGCCCAAACUCCUACGGGAGGCAGCAGUGGGGAAUAUUGGAAAAUGGGCGCAAGCCUGAUCCAGCCAUGCCGCGCGAGUGAUGAAGGCGUUAGGGUUGUAAAGCUCUUUCGUCCGGGACGAUAAUGACGGUACCGGAAGAAGAAGCACCGGCUAACUUCGUGCCAGCCGCCGCAGUAA
rnacentral:rRNA from 1 species